GCGAGUCUGAAUAGGGCGCAUAAGUAACAGGUCGUAGACCCGAAACCAGGUGAUCUACCCAUGUCCAGGAUGAAGGUAAGGUAAUACUUACUGGAGGUCCGAACCCACGCACGUUGAAAAGUGCGGGGAUGAGGUGUGGGUAGCGGAGAAAUUCCAAUCGAACUUGGAGAUAGCUGGUUCUCUCCGAAAUAGCUUUAGGGCUAGCCUCGAGGUAAAGAGUCAUGGAGGUAGAGCACUGUUUGGACUAGGGGCCCUUCUCGGGUUACCGAAUUCAGAUAAACUCCGAAUGCCAUGUACUUAUACUCGGGAGUCAGACUGCGAGUGAUAAGAUCCGUAGUCGAAAGGGAAACAGCCCAGACCACCAGUUAAGGUCCCCAAAUAUAUGUUAAGUGGAAAAGGAUGUGGGGUUGCUUAGACAACCAGGAUGUUGGCUUAGAAGCAGCCACCAUUGAAAGAGUGCGUAAUAGCUCACUGGUCGAGUGACCCCGCGCCGAAAAUGUACCGGGGCUAAACAUAUUACCGAAACUGU
rnacentral:rRNA from 1 species